rnacentral:rRNA from 1 species
GAUGAACGCUGGCGGCGUGCCUAAUACAUGCAAGUCGAGCGAACAGAUGAGAAGCUUGCUUCUCUGAUGUUAGCGGCGGACGGGUGAGUAACACGUGGGUAACCUACCUAUAAGACUGGGACGACUCCGGGAAACCGGGGCUAAUACCGGAUAAUAUUUUGAACCGCAUGGUUCAAUAGCGAAAGACGGUUUCGGCUGUCACUUAUAGAUGGACCCGCGCCGUAUUAGCUAGUUGGUAAGGUAACGGCUUACCAAGGCGACGAUACGUAGCCGACCUGAGAGGGUGAUCGGCCACACUGGAACUGAGACACGGUCCAGACUCCUACGGGAGGCAGCAGUAGGGAAUCUUCCGCAAUGGGCGAAAGCCUGACGGAGCAACGCCGCGUGAGUGAUGAAGGUCUUCGGAUCGUAAAACUCUGUUGUUAGGGAAGAACAAAUUUGUUAGUAACUGAACAAGUCUUGACGGUACCUAACCAGAAAGCCACGGCUAACUACGUGCCAGCCGCCGCAGUAA